rnacentral:rRNA from 1 species
GCAGUAGGAUAGGCGAAGCGUGCGAUUGGAUUGCACGUCUAAGCAGUAAGGCUGAGUAUUAGGCAAAUCCGGUACUCGUUAAGGCUGAGCUGUGAUGGGGAGAAGACAUUGUGUCUUCGAGUCGUUGAUUUCACACUGCCGAGAAAAGCCUCUAGAUAGAAAAUAGGUGCCCGUACCGCAAACCGACACAGGUAGUCAAGAUGAGAAUUCUAAGGUGAGCGAGCGAACUCUCGUUAAGGAACUCGGCAAAAUGACCCCGUAACUUCGGGAGAAGGGGUGCUCUUUAGGGUUAACGCCCAGAAGAGCCGCAGUGAAUAGGCCCAAGCGACUGUUUAUCAAAAACACAGGUCUCUGCUAAACCGUAAGGUGAUGUAUAGGGGCUGACGCCUGCCCGGUGCUGGAAGGUUAAGAGGAGUGGUUAGCUUCUGCGAAGCUACGAAUCGAAGCCCCAGUAAACGGCGGCCGUAACUAUAACGGUCCUAAGGUAGCGAAAUUCCUUGUCGGGUAAGUUCCGACCCGCACGAAAGGCGUAACGAUUUGGGCACUGUCUCAACGAGAGACUCGGUGAAAUCAUAGUACCUGUGAAGAUGCAGGUUACCCGCGACAGGACGGAAAGACCCCGUGGAGCUUUACUGUAGCCUGAUAUUGAAAUUCGGCACAGCUUGUACAGGAUAGGUAGGAGCCUUUGAAACGUGAGCGCUAGCUUACGUGGAGGCGCUGGUGGGAUACUACCCUAGCUGUGUUGGCUUUCUAACCCGCACCACUUAUCGUGGUGGGAGACAGUGUCAGGCGGGCAGUUUGACUGGGGCGGUCGCCUCCUAAAAGGUAACGGAGGCGCUCAAAGGUUCCCUCAGAAUGGUUGGAAAUCAUUCAUAGAGUGUAAAGGCAUAAGGG